AAAACAUUACUAAAACUAGAUUUAUAAACAACGUAUCAUAAGUCAAACAUAACUUUCGAGUAUUAAAUUCAAAACAUAAUAUCAUUAUCAGAGUCAAACAUUCCCAGGCUAACUGACUAUGGUGUGUGCUUUGCAAUCUUCCCGAGCUCCUCUUUUGAAAACCGAGUACCUGAAACCAAAACUGAAAACCGUAAGCACGAAGCUUAGUGAGCUCCCCCAAACUACCACAUACCAUACAAUAACAUAUAAAGCACAUACUGGGCCUUGCCCACUGCAUCGGACCGAAGUCCGGGCUAACUGGGGCCUUGCCCCCUGCAUCGGACCGGAGUCCGGACUAACUGGGACCUUGUCCCCUGCAUCGGAACGAAGUCCGGACUAACUGGGACCUUGUCCCCUGCAUCGGACCGAAGUCCGGGCUAACUGGGGCCUUGCCCCCUGCAUCGGACCGAAGUCCGGACUAACUGGGACCUUGUCCCCUGCAUCGGACCGAAGUCCGGGCUAACUGAACAGAACAUAACAUAAACAUAUCAACUAGCAUGAACACACGUAUACUGCAUACUACUUCGGGCCGUAGCCCGGAACACAUAACACAUAAAUCCUGUCUGAGC
rnacentral:lncRNA from 1 species